UACGGAGGGUGCAAGCGUUAAUCGGAAUUACUGGGCGUAAAGCGUGCGCAGGCGGUUUGUUAAGUCUGCUGUGAAAUCCCCGAGCUCAACUUGGGAAUUGCAGUGGAUACUGGCAAGCUGGAGUACGGUAGAGGAAGGUGGAAUUCACGGUGUAGCAGUGAAAUGCGUAGAUAUCGUGAGGAACACCAGAGGCGAAGGCGGCUACCUGGACAAUUGCUGACGCUCAGGCACGAAAGCGUGGGGAGCAAAAGGG
rnacentral:rRNA from 1 species